rnacentral:rRNA from 1 species
GACGAACGCUGGCGGCGUGCUUAACACAUGCAAGUCGAGCGGUAAGGCCCUUUCGGGGGUACACGAGCGGCGAACGGGUGAGUAACACGUGGGUGACCUGCCCUCAGCUCUGGGAUAAGCCUGGGAAACCGGGUCUAAUACUGGAUAUGACUCCAUGACGCAUGUUGUGGGGUGGAAAGCCUUGUGCGGCUGAGGAUGGGCCCGCGGCCUAUCAGCUUGUUGGUGGGGUGANGGCCUACCAAGGCGACGACGGGUAGCCGGCCUGAGAGGGCGACCGGCCACACUGGGACUGAGACACGGCCCAGACUCCUACGGGAGGCAGCAGUGGGGAAUAUUGGACAAUGGGCGCAAGCCUGAUCCAGCGAUGCCGCGUGUGUGAAGAAGGCCUGCGGGUUGUAAAGCACUUUCAGUAGGGAAGAAAAGCCGAGUGCUAAUAUCACUCGUCUUGACGUUACUUACAGAAGAAGCACCGGCUAACU